CCUACGGGAGGCAGCAGUGAGGAAUAUUGGUCAAUGGGCGUAAGCCUGAACCAGCCAAGUCGCGUGAGGGAUGAAGGUUCUAUGGAUCGUAAACCUCUUUUAUAAGGGAAUAAAGUGUGGGACGUGUCCUGUUUUGUAUGUACCUUAUGAAUAAGGAUCGGCUAACUCCGUGCCAGCAGCCGCGGUAAUACGGAGGAUCCGAGCGUUAUCCGGAUUUAUUGGGUUUAAAAGGUGCGUAGGCGGCCUUUUAAGUCAGCGGUGAAAGUCUGUGGCUCAACCCUCGAAUUGCCGUUGAAACUGGGAGGCUUGAGUAUGUUUGAGGCAGGCGGAAUGCGUGGUGUAGCGGUGAAAUGCUUAGAUAUCACGCAGAACCCCGAUUGCGAAGGCAGCCUGCCAAGCCAUGACUGACGCUGAUGCACGAAAGCGUGGGGAUCAAACAGGAUUAGAUACCCCAGUAGUC
rnacentral:rRNA from 1 species